rnacentral:rRNA from 1 species
GAUGAACGCUGGCGGCGUGCCUAAUACAUGCAAGUCGAGCGAACGGACGAGAAGCUUGCUUCUCUGAUGUUAGCGGCGGACGGGUGAGUAACACGUGGAUAACCUACCUAUAAGACUGGGAUAACUUCGGGAAACCGGAGCUAAUACCGGAUGAUAUUUUGAACCGCAUGGUUCAAAAGUGAAAGACGGUCUUGCUGUCACUUAUAGAUGGAUCCGCGCUGCAUUAGCUAGUUGGUAAGGUAACGGCUUACCAAGGCAACGAUGCAUAGCCGACCUGAGAGGGUGAUACGCCACACUGGAACUGAGACACGGUCCAGACUCCUACGGGAGGCAGCAGUAGGGAAUCUUCCGCAAUGGGCGAAAGCCUGACGGAGCAACGCCGCGUGAGUGAUGAAGGUCUUCGGAUCGUAAAACUCUGUUAUUAGGGAAGAACAUAUGUGUAAGUAACUGUGCACAUCUUGACGGUACCUAAUCAGAAAGCCACGGCUAACUACGUG